CCUACGGGUGGCAGCAGUGGGGAAUAUUGCACAAUGGGGGAAACCCUGAUGCAGCGACGCCGCGUGAGUGAAGAAGUCUUUCGGUAUGUAAAGCUCUAUCAGCAGGGAAGAAGAAAGACGUUACCUGACUCAGAAGCCCCGGCUAACUACGUGCCAGCAGCCGCGGUAAUACGUAGGGGGCAAGCGUUAUCCGGAUUUACUGGGUGGAAAGGGAGCGUAGACGGCUGUGCAAGUCUGAAGUGAAAGCCCAGGGCUCAACCCUGGGACUGCUUUGGAAACUGUGGGGCUAGAGUGCUGGAGAGGUAAGUGGAAUUCCUAGUGUAGCGGUGAAAUGCGUAGAUAUUAGGAGGAACACCAGUGGCGAAGGCGGCUUACUGGACAGUAACUGACGUUGAGGCUCGAAAGCGUGGGGAGCAAACAGGAUUAGAUACCCCAGUAGUC
rnacentral:rRNA from 1 species